AAUGAAGAAGAAGAAGAAGAAGAAAAGAAGAGUUCUCAUUAUGUUUGUUUAUGGUGUACCGUUUGUGUUUGUUGUUGU
rnacentral:ribozyme from 1 species